UACAGAGGUCCCGAGCGUUGCUCGGAUUCAUUGGGCGUAAAGGGUGCGUAGGCGGUCUUCUAAGUUUGAUGUGAAAUCCCGGGGCUCAACCCUGGAAUGGCAUUGAAUACUGGAGGACUAGAGUACCGGAGAGGAAACUGGAAUUUACGGUGUAGCAGUGAAAUGCGUAGAGAUCGUAAGGAAGACCAGUGGCGAAGGCGAGUUUCUGGACGGUAACUGACGCUGAGGCACGAAGGCCAGGGGAGCAAACGGG
rnacentral:rRNA from 1 species